rnacentral:rRNA from 1 species
GACGAACGCUGGCGGCGUGCUUAACACAUGCAAGUCGAACGGAAAGGCCCUGCUUUUGUGGGGUGCUCGAGUGGCGAACGGGUGAAUAACACGUGAGUAACCUGCCCUUGACUUGGGGAUAACUUGAGGAAACUGGGGCUAAUACCGGAUAGGAGCUCCUGCGGCAUGGUGGGGGUUGGAAAGUUUGGGCGGUUGGGGAUGGACUCGCGGCUUAUCAGCUUGUUGGUGGGGUAGUGGCUUACCAAGGCUUUGACGGGUAGCCGGCCUGAGAGGGUGACCGGCCACAUUGGGACUGAGAUACGGCCCAGACUCCUACGGGAGGCAGCAGUGGGGAAUAUUGCACAAUGGGCGGAAGCCUGAUGCAGCAACGCCGCGUGCGGGAUGACGGCCUUCGGGUUGUAAACCGCUUUCGCCUGUGACGAAGCGUGAGUGACGGUAAUGGGCAAAGAAGCACCGGCUAACUACGUG